GCGUGUGAUCAUACCAGUGUUAAUGCACCAGAUCCCAUCAGAACUUCGUAGUUAAGAACACUUGAGCUAGAGUAUUACUAGGAUGGGUGACCUCCUGGGAAGUCCUAGUGUUUCACCCU
rnacentral:rRNA from 1 species